rnacentral:rRNA from 1 species
GAUGAACGCUGGCGGCGUGCUUAACACAUGCAAGUCGAACGGAAAGGCUCCUGUUUGCAGGGGUACUCGAGUGGCGAACGGGUGAGUAACACGUGGGUGAUCUGCCCUGCACUUCGGGAUAAGCCUGGGAAACUGGGUCUAAUACCGGAUAGGACCACAUUUUGGAUGGUGUGGUGGAAAGUUUUUCGGUGUGGGAUGAGCUCGCGGCCUAUCAGCUUGUUGGUGGGGUAAUGGCCUACCAAGGCGUCGACGGGUAGCCGGCCUGAGAGGGUGUACGGCCACAUUGGGACUGAGAUACGGCCCAGACUCCUACGGGAGGCAGCAGUGGGGAAUAUUGCACAAUGGGCGGAAGCCUGAUGCAGCGACGCCGCGUGGGGGAUGACGGCCUUCGGGUUGUAAACUCCUUUCGCUAGGGACGAAGCGCAAGUGACGGUACCUGGAGAAGAAGCACCGGCUAACUACGUG